GAAAGGCGGCUUCGGCUGUCACUUAUGGAUGGACCCGCGUCGCAUUAGCUAGUUGGUGAGGUAACGGCUCACCAAGGCAACGAUGCGUAGCCGACCUGAGAGGGUGAUCGGCCACACUGGGACUGAGACACGGCCCAGGCUCUUACGGGAGGCAGCAGUAGGGAAUCUUCCGCAAUGGACGAAAGUCUGACGGAGCAACGCCGCGUGAGUGAUGAAGGCUUUCGGGUCGUAAAACUCUGUUGUUAGGGAAGAACAAGUGCUAGUUGAAUAAGCUGGCACCUUGACGGUACCUAACCAGAAAGCCACGGCUAACUACGUGCCAGCAGCCGCGGUAAUACGUAGGUGGCAAGCGUUAUCCGGAAUUAUUGGGCGUAAAGCGCGCGCAGGUGGUUUCUUAAGUCUGAUGUGAAAGCCCACGGCUCAACCGUGGAGGGUCAUUGGAAACUGGGAGACUUGAGUGCAGAAGAGGAAAGGGGAAUUCCAUGUGUAGCGGUGAAAUGCGUAGAGAUAUGGAGGAACACCAGUGGCGAAGGCGACUUUCUGGUCUGUAACUGACACUGAGGCGCGAAAGCGUGGGGAGCAAACAGGAUUAGAUACCCUGGUAGUCCACGCCGUAAACGAUGAGUGCUAAGUGUUAGAGGGUUUCCGCCCUUUAGUGCUGAAGUUAACGCAUUAAGCACUCCGCCUGGGGAGUACGGCCGCAAGGCUGAAACUCAAAUGAAUUGACGGGG
rnacentral:rRNA from 1 species